rnacentral:rRNA from 1 species
GUGAGGAAUAUUGCGCAAUGGAGGCAACUCUGACGCAGCCAUGCCGCGUGCAGGAAGAAGGCGCUACGCGUUGUAAACUGCUUUUAACCGGGAAGAAACCCCAGGACGUGUCCUGGGUUGACGGUACCGGAGGAAUAAGCACCGGCUAACUUCGUGCCAGCAGCCGCGGUAAUACGAAGGGUGCAAGCGUUAUCCGGAUUCAUUGGGUUUAAAGGGUGCGUAGUCGGAGCGUUAAGUCAGUGGUGAAAUCAUGCAGCUUAACUGUAGACUUGCCAUUGAUACUGGCGCUCUUGAGUGCGCUUGAAGUGGGCGGAAUGUGCCGUGUAGCGGUGAAAUGCUUAGGUAUGGCACAGAACACCAAUUGCGAAGGCAGCUCACUAAGGCGAUACUGACGCUGAGGCACGAAAGCGUGGGGAUCGAACAGGAUUAGAAACCCUUGUAGUCC